rnacentral:lncRNA from 1 species
GCUUGAAGGUAUUCGUUUCCUGGGGUUGCCAUUACAAAGGACCAUACACUGGGCAACUUAAAUAACAGCACUGUAUUGUCUCACAGUUAGGAAGCUGGUAGUUCAAGAUCCAGGUGUCACAGGGUCGGUUCCUUGUGAGGCCCACGGAGGGAUUUGCUCCAUGCCUCCUGCCUUCUGGUGCUUUGCCAGGACUCUUGGGCCUUCUUUGGCUUGCAAAUGAUCUCUGAUCUCUGCCUUCAUCUUCGCCAGGUGUUCUCUGGGGAAUGCACCUGAGUCCAAACUUCUUUUUAUCAGGACACCAGUCGUUGGAUUCGGGGCCCACCCUCCUCCAGGAUGAUCUCAUCUUCAAUUACAUCGGCAAGGACCUGUUUCCACAUAAGGUCGCAUUUUGAGUACUGAAGGUUAUGACUUCCACAAAUGAAUGGAGUGGCGGACACAAUUCAACGCGUAACAGGUACCAAUUAUGCGCUGAAGCCGUUGGGCAGAGGAAAGAGUGGGGGACUAAGGCCCUAAGAAGCAAAAGGGUCUGGCAUAUUCUGGGAAUGGAAGAAAUGUGUGACUUCAGAGUUAUAAAUGAGGGAAAGAAGGCCCUGGGCAGAGGCAAGGUGAGCAGACACCAGAUGGAGAAGUUUGGACUUUAUUCUGCCAUCAAUGGGAAGAUUUCCACAGGUUCUGUGUGGUUUUAAAAGGUCAUGUUAUAAACUUCCCGAUUGUCGCCUCAACAGUGAAAUGCAAGGAUUUCUUAAUUUGUUGGUUUCUAAGGAGAAUUUACAACUGUUUUCUCAUUGCCCUCUCCCUUAUAUGUUGAAUUUGCUAAGGAGAUACAACACAUUUAUGAUCUCCGAAACAGUUUUGUCUUUUUAUAUUCAUUUUUAAUUCCUCAGUUAAAAUAUUUAUUUCCUGUUAUGGGGCGCCUGGGUGGCUCAGUUGGUUAAGAGUCCGACUCUUGAUUUCAGCUCAGGUCUUGAUCUCAUGUUCAUAGGAUUGAGCCCCACAUCGGGCUCCAUGCUGUCAGCACUGAAUCUGCUUGGGAUUCUCUCUCCUUUUCUGUCUGGCCCUGUCUCUCUGUCUCUCUGUCUCUCUGUCUCUCUCUCUCAAAAUAAAUAAUAUAAACAUUUUUUAAAAAGCAAAAAAAUAUUUAUUUCCUGUUAACUUUCUCUCUGAUUUUCAUCUGCAAAAAUAAAAUAAGUUUUUUCUUCAUUCUCUUUACCCCUCAAGAAACUUCCCUUAAGGAAGAGGGAAAAAGAGAAGAAAUAUUCAACUGAGGUAAUUUCCUCAGACUGUUUUGAGUGAACAGUGAUCAUUUUCAGAGGUUCGGUCACCACAAAAUCAAUAUUCAUUCCAAAGUUCAGUGGCUCCAAAUGUAUUCAAGUUUUUUGAUUUCCAAAAAUUUUCAGAUCUUUUUCUUCUGUCAGAAACUCCAUGUGUAAUAAAUCGUUUUCACAAAACUGAAUUUUUGUUGGCAGAACAAUCAGCAUAAGUAAAACUCCAUGGUUUGCCUUGAACGUUUUGUAAGUUGAAAGCAAAUGUUGGUUUAAACAGCCCAUCACGUAUUUUCUCAACCUCAAGCUGUGGAUCUUGGUUUCUGCACUACUCCCUCCUUGAUGACCGAAAAAGGUCCACUUUUUUCUGUUUUACAUACUGAGGUUCUGGGUAAGAUUCCACUUAGGGAAAAGGUUCUGUUGCUUUAAAAAAAAUUUUUUUUUUCAUUUAAAAACUAAGCCACAAAAACUGUCUGUUCGUUUUAUUUCAUUUUCAGACAACUGGAGAUAAGAGAGAAAACACAACCAACCAUGAGUGGAAAGGCGUUCAGAUUGAAGGAGAGAAAGAAAUACGGAUACCAAGCGACAGAGGCAGUUGUACGCAUUGAUAGAGUGGAACCAGCCACAUGAGAGGUACCCACAUAUAAGGUCAUCAUCAACGUGCUCAAUUGUCUCCCGUUUUUCUUUGUUUUUCUUUCCCAUCUUUGAUAAGAACUUCUCAUCUUUGCAGUGAUGCAGAACCAACAGAAUCAUGACCUCUUGUUUCCAUGUAUGCAGUUGAGGUCAUGCUUUUAUGACACCUUUGGGCAAAACUUUUUCCCUCAUUGAGAAACUGGAGAAACAUUACCACAAUCCUGUCAUCUUUCACAAGACUUAUCCGUGUGUUCCCACAUACAAACUGUUCCUUUUGUUGGUAUUUUUGCUUAUGAUGAACUUAAGAUAAAUAGGAUAGUAAGAAAUAUUUGUGCCGCAUUGAGGGUAAAAAGAAAAUGGGUUUUUUUAAUGUUUAUUUUUGCGAGAGAGAGAGACAGACAGAGUGUGAGCAGGGGAAGGGCAGAGAGGGAGACACGGAAUGCGCAGCAGGCUCCCGGCUCUGAGCUGUCAGCACAGAGCCCGACGGCGAGACCGUGACCUGAGCCGGAGUCAGAAGUGUACCCGACUGAGCCACCCAGCUCCCUGAUGUUUUAUAUGCACAGUAUAACCACCCCAAAGAUAUCUUUAUUAAAUAAGACCAAACAGAACCACAUCGAAACAUUAACAGUGGUUGUCUCUGAGUGAUGGAACUAUGGCUAAUUUUUUUUCCUGUGGAAAAAUGAACAUUUUUAAGAAUAGAUUUUACUUUUAUUAAAGUAAUAUUUUAAAUAAUAUUUAAUAGGCAAUUUCAGAGAAUUAUUUCUUGAUAUAUGAUCUUUUUUUUUUUUUUUUAAUUUUUUUUUUCAACGUUUAUUUAUUUUUGGGACAGAGAGAGA